UUGUUCUUUGUUGUUGAAUUAUAUUUUCAUUUAAAAAUAGGGCCAUAUUUUGGUUUGACUUGCUACUUGCUACUGUACAUCAAAGUUUUGUAGAUUGCCGAUUCGUAGAAUCGUAGCCCAUAUCCAAGUUUCAAAUCCUAAGGCCCAAACAUACACAUCAGAAGAAAAGGAAACGUAGCAGAUCAACCGGAUCCGAUAAACACUGUGAAUUGUGGCCGUCAAUUUCCCCGGCGCCACCGUUAUCAACAAUGGCGGCCACCUCCUCAUCAUUGGAGUCCUUAAUCCUUCAACUCCACGACAUUUCUGCCGUUAAAUUCGGCAAUUUCAAGCUGAAAUCCGGCAUAGCUUCCCCAGUGUACAUAGACCUCCGCCUCAUCGUAUCCUACCCUAAACUCCUCUCUCAAAUCUCCCAAACCCUAAUUUCCGCCGUUGACUCCGCCUCUCCUCCCGCCACUUACGACGUCAUCUGCGGAGUCCCUUACACCGCCCUUCCCAUCGCCACCGGAGUCUCAGUGGCGAACAACAUUCCGAUGCUGAUGCGCCGUAAAGAGGUUAAGUCGUACGGAACUGGUAAAGCUAUUGAAGGUGUUUAUCAACCUUCCCAAACUUGCCUAAUUAUUGAAGACCUUGUUACUAGUGGCGCCUCUGUUCUUGAGACGGCUGGUCCUUUGAGAGAUUUUGGCCUUAAGGUUAAUGACGCUGUUGUUUUGAUUGACAGGGAACAGGGGGGAAGAGAAAAUUUGGCCAAAAACGGGAUAAGAUUGCAUUCCUUGUUGAAGCUGACUGAGAUGGUUGAAGUUUUAAGGAGGUUGGGUAAGGUGGAGAAAGAAACAGAGAACAUCGUGUUGAAGUUCUUGAAGGAAAGUAAGGUCUCUACUGUGCCAAAUGUGGUAAAAGAGAGGGUUGGGAAAUCAAAUAUGGGUUUUGGGGAGAGAGCUAAGUUGGCUAAAAAUGAAACUGGGAGGAGAUUGUUUGAGAUAAUGGCCAAAAAGAAGACAAAUUUGUGCUUGGCUGCUGAUGUUGGUACAGCUGCUGAGUUACUUGACUUGGCUAAUAAGGUUGGACCAGAAAUCUGUUUACUGAAAACUCACGUUGAUAUAUUACCUGAUUUCACCCCAGAAUUUGGUUCAAAACUUCGCUCGAUUGCAUACAAGCACAAUUUCCUUAUUUUUGAGGAUCGUAAAUUUGCUGAUAUUGGCAAUACCGUAAGUAUGCAGUAUGAAGGAGGUAUUUACCGCAUUUUGGAUUGGGCUGACAUAACCAAUGCUCACAUUAUAUCAGGGCCUGGGAUUGUGGAUGGGCUGAAGAUGAAGGGCCUGCCUCGAGGUAGGGGUCUUCUUCUGUUGGCUGAAAUGAGUUCUGCUGCUAACCUAGCAACAGGAGAUUACACUGCAGCAGCGGUAAAGAUAGCUGAGGAUCACUCGGAUUUUGUCAUUGGUUUCAUCUCGGUUAAUCCAGCAUCUUGGAAAUGCGGACCCGUCAAUCCAGCCCUUAUUCAUGCUACACCUGGAGUCCAAAUGGUAAACGGUGGUGAUUCCCUUGGCCAGCAAUACAACACACCAUACUCUGUUAUCCAUGACAGAGGCAGUGACAUAAUAAUUGUUGGUCGUGGAAUCAUUAAAGCAGCGAAUCCUGAAGAGGCUGCUCAUGAAUACCGGCUUCAAGGGUGGAAUGCAUAUUUGGCCAAAUGCAAAUGAGUCUGUUUGGAGUUUCUCAGGUUUGCAUUAUGGUGGGCUGCUUUUUUCCAAUAACCUGUAACUAUGUUACUUGAACACAGGUGCUCAUGUUAGAAUAGAGUACGCAACUGGAAAAAUCAAGGCGAUAAUCGCUCCAUAUUUUGCAGAUUGGAUGUUAUUCUUCUAGCAGUGCCUGUACCAUGGAGCUCCUGUUAUACAGUUGCAGCAACUCCGUAGUAUUUUUGUGCUGCAAUCAGUUUAGUUACUGCAACUCGUCGAAUUCACGGAGUUGGAUGUAAAACUGGAUAUGUUAAAGGCCUUGAUUGAUCAUUACGUGUAUGAACACGAAUAAUUUGUAAGUGGAGAAAAUGUUAUAUGAAAUCAAAUUGGAUCAGGUGACUCAACAUUCUUUUAAUGGCUUUUAUUUUAAAACAAAAUGACAAAUAAAGUUUAAUGGUCCAAUGUCUCCUCAAGAACAGUCAAUUUCCCUACCCACUAACACUCUUUAGAUUAGCUUUUCCAGUGGACAUCCUAUCAUUACUGUAUUUGUACACUACUUGUAAGUGAGAAUAAAAGAUAGUGAUCUAAUAGCCUGUGUCCGAUAUGUUUUAGGUUUGAAUUCUCCGUCUCAAAAUUUGUAUUAGGUUACCUAGCGAUCAACUUACACGUAUCAAUUACUCCACAGUUCUUUGUUAAGAUGGUAAGAGCUUACUCAAUAGCUAAUUGUAUAGAUUGGGGUAAUAUAUGGGAGGAUUAUUUAGGAAAAUAUGAGAUAUAUUACCUAAUUUCUUCUUAAAAGGUCAAGGCCCGUUCGGUAUCGUUUUUUAUUUUUAUUUUUAUUUUUAUAAUACUAAAAGCAAAAAUAUGAAACCACGGGAUUUUUUUUUCAUAAUUUUCAUUUAUUUUGUUGUCAAUUUUCAUGAUCAAUAUAAUUAUUAAACAUACGUAGUAUUUUAAGUUCAUUGACUCUAAAUCUGUGGAGUAUGACUUUAAAAACAUUAAAAUCAAAAACUAAAAACUGACCCUAGUACAUAAGCAACCCUAGAAAUUAGGGGAUAUGUGGGCUUAUUUUUAUUAAAUAUUUUUUGAAAGCAAUGUUGGCAAAAUUCCAUUUGCUACCAAGUCUACCACACAUUCGUUCAGUAUACGAAAUACUCCGUAUAAAUUUACUUUAAUGGAAAUAGAGUUUUCACAUAAAACAAGUUCUGAAGUUCAUGUUAUCAAUUUUUUUUUACAGCAACUAAACAAUUAGAGUAUGUCAGAUUCCAACAACACUCUUCAUCUUCCAUUGCCGGAAUACUCCACCACCGGUGACCCACUAACCAACCUCUCAGCGAUCCAACACCGAGUCGACUCAUUGAGUCGCAUCCUAUCCAACUCGGUCAACCGCAACACCCCUCUGUCAAAGAACGACUCCAACACGAUCACCGCCGAGUUAACCUCCGCCAUCCACCACGUCGUAAUCAACGGCGCAGCCCUCCUUUCCUCGUCUCAUGUAGCCCACCACAGCCCACAAAUGGACAGUGAGAAUCCCGAGAUAGUUGAACUAGACGCGAUGGAGCUCACAGCUGAAUACACCCACACCUGCCAAGUUUGUGGGAAGGGAUUCAAACGAGAUGCCAACCUACGGAUGCAUAUGCGGGCACACGGAGACAGAUUCAAAACCCUCGAUUCCCUCAUGAAGCCGGGCAAUCUUAAAAAAUCCGAGGGUUUUGGUCGGGAAACGAGGUUUUCGUGUCCGUAUGUCGGUUGCAAUAGGAACAAGAAGCACAAUGAAUUCCGGGCAUUGAAAUCAGUGGUUUGUGUGAAGAAUCAUUUUAAAAGGAGCCACUGUCCAAAGAGGUUUCCGUGUAACCGGUGUAAGAAGAAGCGUUUCUCGGUGUUGUCGGAUUUGAAGAGUCAUAUGAAGCACUGUACGGUGGUGGCGGUGGCGGUGGUGGACGAAAAUACGUGUUCGUGUUCGUGUGGGAGAAUGUUUUCAAACAAGGAAGAAUUGUUUGAGCAUAUGUCAUUGUUUGAAGGACAUAUGCCAGCUAAUGUUGUAGUUGAAGAAGUUGAGAAAUGCAGGUCGGGAUUGGUUGAGGUUGAGGUUGAGGUUGAGGAUGAUCAAAUGGGUUUGUGGUCUUCAAUUGAGGAGUUGAUUCAAUUCUGAAUUCUGAUCAUUCAUUGCCUUGUUUGUUUAAUAUUUACUCUCCAUUCUCUGCUUUGUUCUGUUUUUAUGGUAAUUCAAAUUUAAUUACUGUAAAAUAAUUUUGCCUCCUCUUCCCCUCCCCUUGUCUGGUACAGUUGUACCGAUCGUACUAACUAGUUGUAAUGGGUUGCAAAACAAUUCAUAAUACAACAUUUAUAUUGAUGUUC